rnacentral:rRNA from 1 species
UACGUGAGGGGCGAACGUUGUUCGGUGUCACUGGGCUUAAAGGGCGCGUAGGUGGUCGCAUAAGUAAGGUGUGAAAUCCCUCGGCUUACCCGGGGAACUGCGCCUUAUACUGUGUGGCUUGAGGGCCAUAGGGGAACGGGGAACUCCAGGUGUAGCGGUGAAAUGCGUAGAUAUUGGGAGGAACACCAGUGGCGAAGGCGGCUCACUUGGACCGGUUCUGACGCUGAGGCGCGAAAGCGGUGGGGAGCAAACGGG